rnacentral:lncRNA from 1 species
AUGACAGGCAUACAGAGAGAAGCAAAGACAUAGGCAGAGGGGAGCUCUGCGGGAGCUCCCUGCCAGGAGCCUGAUGCGGAACUCGAUCCCAGGACCUGAGCCAAAGGCAGACGCUCAACCACCGAGCCACCCAGGGGUCCCUGGAUUGACUCCAUUCUUAAGAAUGGUGUUUAUUACGUUGCGGAAUCCUGUGGGAACAUACCGCCAAUGGUGUAACAAAAUCAGAGGGAAAACUGGAUUUGAUUUCUAGAAAUCUGUGGCACUGCCGACCCCUCCCGAAGCACACUUUUCUGUAAAGCGAGAACUCCCAGCAGCAGAAGCGGAGCCUGCUCCCAGGCAGCGACCAGCGCUGUAGAGCACAGAGCAUCCCCAACCGCCGCCGCCCCGCCCACUGACAGUGUCUAUAAAUCCAUUUCCUGUCUUGUAAUUAUGUUUCAUGUAGUAAUUAGCCCCUUCAUAUCAAUGAAGCCAAAUUUCCAUGUGUAAUGGAGUGAAGCCUGAGUGUGUGAGACAAAUGGAAACGCAGCUUUGGCAGAACCUUCACCUUUGCCUCCAUCGUCAGAGUGCAGCUUCUGCACCCCUCAACCCAAUCUUCCCUUCCGGAAUCGCCUCUGUACCACCCGCCCUUCACAGCCCGGAGCCAGGUAGCAUGCACGGAGCUGGCAGCAGGGUGGGCAAGAGGCUCAGAAGACAUCCCAGGGUCCCAGGAGCCCAGAGACCCCGCUGUGGGAGAAACCUUCGCGGCAUCCCCCCACAUCAAGACAGCUGCAGCUCUCACCAAGGACAGACAUUUGAAAUAGAUGGAUAUCGCCUACGUGUAUUUAUGGGGCACAGGAUCCUUCCCACCCACCUGUGUGUGUUGUAAUCUUUUUGACAGAGGAGAGGAGGACAGUUUCAGGAACUUCAAAGUGACAGCUUCGACUUGCUAAUGGAAGGUCAGCGUUUUCAACUUACCUUUGAUCACAUUUUUAACUUAUAUAGAAGAUAUAUAUCUGUGGACCAAAGAAUAUGUGUGGGUAAAGUGGAUUGGAAAAUAUCCUAAUAGCCUCAAAUCUAAGUUACAAAAAGUAAUUUCACACAUAUCUUUCCAUUAACUAUUCACGUCAACCCUGAGAGGUAGCUAGGGCAAGCAUUUUUAUUCCCAUUUUGCAGAUGAGAAAACUGAGGCCUGGUGAGGUUAAGGUAUAUGAUUUAUGUUAUAUGUUUUGUCAAUAAAGACAAACCUCAACUCCCA